GGUGACAGCGAGAGAAAAGAGGAGGGCGCACGCGAUCCCACGUGCUCUCGCCAACGCGGAUUCGAUGCUCUUCUGUUCAUUUUCUAUCCACUGUUUCCAGCACCGCAGAGGCAGUGAAGACGGACCGCAUAGCGUACACACGCACUGCCCUCCACCCUUGCUGGAAAACAUGUCUGUGCACAUAGUAUUUCCCCCUUUUCACACCUUUUAAUUUUUGGUUUUCCAUUUUCUGACGCGUUCCUGCUUCCUGUUUUCUGAACCACAAUGACGCUUCUCAGCUUUGACUUCAAUUUUUUUAUGACUAAAAGCACUGGGGAAAUGAGAGGGGACCGUUAAAGGUUUAAUUGCUGCUCUAUUUUUCAUCGUCAUCGGCUGUUCAUCCGUGUUUUUCCCCUCAUUUUGUACAUUUAUUCCUUGCACUUCAUGCAAAUCCGGGGGACUAUGUGAACAUCAUGCUGGCGCUGCGAUGCCUGGUGUUUGCUGCAGUGAGUGCACGGUUUGCCGUGACAGGCUGGAGCAGCUCCGUGAUGCGGGAUGCGGUUGUGUGGGAACGGGCAGCACCGGAGCAACGAGGAGAGCGCAGCGGGGCUGUGGAGGAAAUCAUCAAGCCCAAACGGCUGGUACAGCAGAUCGACUCGGAGGGAGAGAUCGUACAUGGCCAUCUGGACACCCGGGUGAAGAACCACUCCGAGGGCGCACAACCUGUCCAUUUGGCUCAAAGCAGUUUUCUGAUCGAGGCCUUUGGCAGCUCCUUCGUCCUGGACCUGGAGUUAAACCACAACCUCCUUUCCUCCGACUACGUGGAGCGGCACUUUGACGAGGAUGGGAAGCCCUUGCAGACUGUGGGAGGUGAGCAUUGCUAUUAUCAUGGGAAGGUUCGAGAUGUGCCCGGUUCCUGGGUUGCUCUUUCCACCUGUCACGGCCUGAGAGGAAUGUUUUCUGAUGGGAAUUUCUCCUACGGGAUUGAGCCAGUUCUGGAAGACAGCGACAAGGAAGAGGAGGCGCAUUUGGUGCGCAGGAUGCCCAAGCUGGAGCUGGCCCCACUGUGUCCAGGCUGCAAGCAGAACAGCAGUGACAGUAACGCUGACACCGAUGGCGGGAACGGCAGCGAUGGCGACAGUGACAUCUUCUUUCAACUGGAAGAGGAACCUGCCUUCGCCGAGGGGCUGCGCCGCUCAAAGAGACAGGUGCGCCGGAACCAGCAUACAGUCCAGAGUGAGACCAAGUAUAUUGAGCUGAUGGUGGUCAAUGACCAUGAGUUGUAUUUGCAUAUGAGAAAAUCAGCCUCCCAGACCAGGAACUUUGCCAAAGCUGUGGUCAACAUGGCAGAUGCGAUCUACAAGGAACAGCUGAACACCAGGAUCGUUCUGGUUGCCAUGGAAACGUGGUCAUCACAGAACAUGGUCUCCGUUGGUGAUGACCCCCUGCUGACCCUGCGUGACUUCAUGAAAUACAGGAAAGAAAACAUAAAGGAACACAGCGAUACAGCACACCUCCUCUCGGGACGCACCUUCCAGAGCAGCCGCAGCGGGACGGCCUACAUUGGGGGCAUCUGCUCUCUCACUCGGGGAGGCGGAGUCAAUGAGUACGGGAACGUGGGUCCGAUGGCCAUCACGCUGUGCCAGAGCCUGGGUCAGAACAUCGGCAUGAUGUGGAACAAGGAACGCACAGCAGCAGGGGACUGUAAAUGCCCGGACCCUUGGUUGGGUUGUAUCAUGGAGGACACAGGAUUCUACCUACCCCGGAAGUUUGCUCGCUGCAGCGUGGACGAGUACAUCCGCUUCCUGCAGGCAGGAGGCGGCAGCUGCCUCUUCAACAAGCCCAAUAAGCUAUUGGACCCUCCGGAGUGUGGGAAUGGUUUUGUGGAGACUGGCGAGGAAUGCGACUGUGGAUCGCAAGUGGAGUGUUUGCGGAGCGGGGGCGCGUGCUGUAAGAAGUGCACUCUGACUCACGACGCCAUGUGCAGCAACGGACUGUGCUGUCGGGGCUGCAUGUACGAGCUGAGGGGAGUGGUGUGCCGGGAAGCUGUGAAUGACUGUGACAUAGCAGAGACCUGCACUGGAGACUCCAGCCAGUGCCCUCACAAUGUCCACAAGUUGGAUGGGUACACGUGUGACAACAGUCAGGGCCGGUGUUACGGAGGUCGCUGUAAAACUCGAGACAGACAGUGCAUGGGGCUCUGGGGCCAUCGUUCAGCGGACCGUUUCUGUUAUGAGAAGCUGAACACCGAGGGCACAGAGAAGGGAAACUGUGGGCAUGACGCCAGCGGGCAGGGCUGGGUGCAGUGCAGCAAGCAGGAUGUUUUGUGCGGGUUCCUGCUUUGCGCUAACAUGUCAGCGAAACCAAAGUUUGGGGAUCUGCAGGGUGAGGUGACCAGCCUUACCAUCUACCACCAGAACAAGUACCUGGACUGUCGUGGUGGCCACGCCCUGCUGGAGGACGGCUCGGACCUGGGCUAUGUGGAAGACGGCACUCCCUGUGGGCCCAACAUGAUGUGCCUGGACCACCGCUGCCUCCCUCUAGCCACCUUCAACCUCAGCGCCUGCCCGGGCACGCCCCCCCUCUCCACCUGUUCACACCACGGGACGUGCAGUAAUGAAGUGAAGUGUAUCUGUGACCGGGACUACACAGGGAAAGACUGCAGUAUCAGGGACCCCAUUCCUGACCCCAAACCCCCAGAAGACCCUAUAUCUAAGGUCUGCCAAUGAAACAAGGCAUUUUGGCAAUUUACUUGCACAGAGCACGUUCUCUCCCCAAUCAAGAGGGUGUCCAGCAGAGAGAAAGAGAAAGAGGGGGAGAGACAGGCAGAAAAACAUCCGAAGAGGAAGAUCUGGUGGAGGAUAGUAUAUCUGUCUGCUCUUCUGUCUUCCUUGCACUGUGUCCUUUUACUUAGAAGAAGAAGAGAAGUCUUCCACUCUUUACAGAACUACAACUCCCACUGUUCUUUUCAUUAUUUUCUCUCCUCCUCUAUCAGAUAUUCUGUCUUUACUUCCAGACUGUGUCUCUGGCCUUCAGCGGACUCUCUAACAUGCAUUCCAGCCGCAUACUGCCAGUUGAUCCACACAGGUGUUGGCAGCCCCUCUAGUGUCCAGGGCCAAACCUUUUUUACUCUGCCAGCGGCCUUCAAAUGGUGACAGGGUACGCUCCCUGAGCGGCAAUGUCCCAAGGCUUAGUUUUUUUUGUUUGUUUUUGCUCUAGAUGGUCACUCUUGAAUGUUAAGUGGACACAAGGGAUAAAUAUCUCACAAACUGUAUUGACCAAACAACUCAAAAUGCAGGUCUCACCAUAUUUUUAGCUCUUUUGAAAUACUGGUACAGACUGUCUACCUGACUGACUAACUUACUUACUCAGUGGAGCAUUGUUAAGCUGCCAGUUUUUAUGUGUUAAAAUUCUGAAGGUGGCCAUUGUGGUUUGUAUCAGUGAUGGAACAGGAAGACCCAAGAAACUCUUGCCUUAUUUCAAUCUAAUUCCUGUCUGAAGUCUUCACUGAUGCACUGAACCACUCACUGAUGGCUGUGGAUAAGGUUUUUUAUCUUUUGCACUCAUAGUGUUGUUGGUAUUUACUUUUUAAUUCUGGUGAACCUGGAGGUGCUGUGAAAAUGGUUAACAAGGCAGGUUAUGUAUGAUGAAGCUGAUCAGAUAUUAGGAAGAUGGCUUAUUUGUCUCUGUGUUUGUCAAAUAUAGAUAAGUCCAUAGAGCAGUCCCGGCUGUGGGACCUCCCUUCUCUCAGAAAUCCAAACAGAAGCCAUUUCAUCAGGUAUUCUUAAAGAGGGCAACAUGGACAUGCUUUGCUCCUGUAUUUUGGUAAUGGCUACAUUCCUUUACAGUUUGCCCUGAUGUCUGUUUAAAAGCAAAGCUGGGAAGGAAGGGCAUUUUUCUGUAGGCUGUUUCCAAAGAAAGAUAAAGGACCCUUCAGUACCCCAGGUGUUAUGACAGUGUGGCUAUGCGAAUGACUCGUGAAAAUAAGACCCUCUUCUGUGUACUUUAAUCCUAGGCGUAUCUACUAACAUUCCACAAUUAGUGUAAGAAAAUAUUUCUAUAUGCAUAUUGUACAUUUACUCUGCUUUUUAAAAAUUAUUUGUCUGUAACAUGUCACCUACAGCAUCAUAGUGAUCCAGUAUGACAUGCAUAAAUGUGCGAAUGUGUGUUUGCAACUGUGAAUGCGUGUAUGCAUGUGUGUGUCUCUGUGUAUAUACAUUGAUAUAUACACAUAGAUAGAUAGCUAGAUAGAUAGACAAUUACACAUUCAUAUAUUAAAUAAUAUUUAUUAUAUAAUCCAUUAAUGGUAGGAGUAUGCAUACGUGUAUGUGAAACAUGUGUGCAUUUGUAUAUAAUGUAUAUAAGAGCAGCCCAAGUGUUUUUAGAGGACUGUACAGCUGAAGUGAUCAGUCUUGUAAGCACAAGUAUGUGAGUGAAUAUUUACAUCCUUAAACCUCUGUGCUCCAUGCACUGAAGUGACGUAUGCAGUUUUUCAAACUAUUGCCAGAUUAAGUGGUGUCUGAGGAUGGCCUGUAUUUGGUUUUGUAUGUUUAUUCUCGCAUUUGACAUAUUGUAAUUACAUAAAAUGUAACUAUUAAUUAUGACAAAUACAGUUGCAGAAUAGAGUACAGUACGUACAAUUUCACAUGGAAGAUUUAAGCUAAAUUUAAUGUUGCUGAGUGCAACUGUUUGCAUUUGGAGAGUGUUCUGUGUCUAUAAAAGAGGACAACAUUACAUGUAGGCCUAUACAUGUUAACAGUGGUGAAUCCUGGGAGUGCCUUGCACAAAGACUUUACUUCUUAGGGUAAACCAGGUAAUGGACAAAUUGUAUUAUCCACAGUUGUGAGCUGCCACUGGCCUCAUAUACAAGUGAUGGAGGGAAAUUAUCUGCUGUGGAAACACUGCCAGGCAGAUAUAGUAUUGAAUUUAGCAUUCGCUUGCGUAUACUAGGUAUUAAUAACUGUAGUGAAAUGGUGCAAGUCACACGGUUUGCUUUGCACUCCCUGCUAUCUCAGUGCGCCCACCACUGUGCCCUCCAUCUGUCCAUGCUGUUGUACAGUUUACUGAAAACAAAUCCUCUCUAAAUAUUGCGUUGUAGGCUUACAGACCCAAGGAUCUACAGGUUCUGCAUGUAGUCAGGCCCUGAUCUGCCUGCAAAGCACCUAUCGGUUACAAGCUCUGGCCAGCUUCUACAAGUCCGUGACAGUGUGGGCUUGUCAGAGUCAAUGUGGUCACCAUGGAAUUCUUGAAUGUGAAGUAAAUUUUUAAACAACAGGAUUCUACAUGUGAUUAUAUGUACUAUAUGCUGUUUGCUAUUAUUCCAUCAGUACUCAGACACCCACAGGUCAUCUUGGUCACAUGGUGUGGCUGUUUCAUACAAUGUGCUCAGAUCAUUUAAAAGUGAAACUCUGUUCCUGUUCUUGACAUAUAAUGAAUGUUCUUAAGGACCUUCUGGCUUUAAAGGGGAGUGUUAAUGAUUUGCUCAUUCUGAGAAUAGGAAACUUUCUUUUUGCCUGUGUACCUGCGAGACCUGGGCCAGGCAUAGCAUUUACAAAACACAUUUAAGGUUGGAUCUGCUCUUUUACUGGAUAUGAGGUCCUUUCUAAAUAGAGAAAUGCCAGGUAAAGGGUGAAGAUUCAAAAUGGUUGCUUACAGAAACUGUCAGGGUCACAUCUGCUGUUUCAGCCUGUUUACUCCAGCAUGGCUGGACUAGGGUCUUCAGCACUGCAUUUAUUUCUGACUUCUGUCUGCAUUAUCUGUGUGCCUUCUGAUUCCCUGCUCUAUCAUACUCAACGGUUUAUCACUGAAUACAGUUAUUUCCUUACACAAGCAGGGCCAAUGCUGGUGAUGUCCCUUUGUUUGGGCAUGUACUGUAUAACAGAACAUCCAGUAAAGAGAACCCAUAUGCUAGUUUUGUGAAUGCGUCUUUGUGUACCCUGUGAGAAAACAAAAUGCAACAAAGCAAUCAAUGGAAAUAUAGACAAUAUACAUUUUGAAAUCUGUCAUUUUGGAUAAUAAUGAGGAAUGAAGCCACACCUUGGCCAUCUGUAUGAACCUUUAACCCUAGAGGAAAUUUCAACAUUUCAAAACAAACAAUUUCACUCAUGUAACACCCCCUGUAUUCUGUAAUUGUACUAUUCUUGAUUACAUAUGAGAACUAUAAGAUGAUGCUCAUACUCAGAAUUUUUAAGGUGGACUUUUGUGACUUGGGCUCUCAAAUACAUGUGAAUGUAGUCUAGUCUAAAAGAGAAGAUUAUUUGCCCAAAAACUGAAUUAUUGGGUGUCCUGCAUAUUCACAAAAUAGAUUCCUAGUCCAGCAGCAGGCAAGACUGCCACUGUCUGCACUAAAUGUAAACGUUUUGCUGAUUAAAUACAAACCAUGGUAACUAUGACUUAAAGCAGGGAUGUUAUGUAAAAAUGUCUGUAUCUUUCUGCUUUUGAAUUUUGUCAAAAUACUUGGUGUUGUGAAACAGCAACACUUUAAAAGGAGCACAAAACAGGCUUUUGUACAAGUGACCUGAGUGUGAUUACUGUAUAUAUACACAUCUUUGUAUAUAUACACUUAUAAAGGAUACAUUUAUAAUGUACAGUAAUGUUAUACACAAACUCUGUAUGCAUAUAUUACAUAUAUGGAGCUGAGUAUGAUCAUACUCUCAAUCUCUCAGAUAUGUACCUAUCUAUCUAAAAUAUCUAUCUGUUCAUAUCCAUCAUACUCAACUCACAACAUUGUAUAUUUGUUGAUAGCUCUUAACGACCUGGUCACCGAUACCCAGGUGACUUAAUGUAUAUAUAAAAUGCGCUUUGAACAUGAAGUAUUUGUUGCUGGUUGACUACUUGGGUGAAAGGGUGGACACAUUAUUUCUCUGAGGUAUGGUUCAGUUCAUUUACCUAUUUUGUCAUCUGACAAAAGUGGUGUCUCGCCCAAGCAGUCAACCUCCUAUUUUUAACUUUUUAACUGAAGGACAGUUGACACCACUACAAUUCAACUGUGAAUUGAUACUUAAAAAGAGAAAAUAAAAUCAAAAAGCAAAAAUGAAA